UUAUGUAAGAUGCGGCGAGUUAGAAUUUUUCUUUUUACGCGAUUCCACGGCUUCUGGAGUCUUCUAUAGACGUGCUUGGUGCCUUUUUAAAGAUACCCCGGCCUCUUGUCAGAACUCAACAGUCUUCGUUCACGACUCUCUUCCCCAUCUAUUCUCUUCUCCGAAUAAGGACCUUCGUAAUUUUCUCUAAUCUUCUUUGCCCGUUCAAGAAUCUAUCUGUAUAAUGACUCAUAUCCUUCCGUUGAUCAGCCUUUUUGUUUUUCCUACCAUCUCGACGGUUUGUUGUUUCUUCCCGCCGUUUGGUUGCCUUGAAGAUUUCAGAAAACGAAAAAAGAAAUAAAAAUCAUAUUUUCGGAUCUUUCCUUUCUGUUUUCAGUAAAAAAAAAAAAGGAGAGUUGAAGAUUCCAGAAGUUUUUUUUUUUUUUUUUCUUUGAUUGUUCGACGGUUUUUUCCUCAGCAACCAAACGGGUUAUAUAUGGUUUUCGAUAGCUAGUAUUUGAAAAGAGAGUUUUGUUUCGUGAUCUUUGUUUGUUUGGCUUUAACUGAAGCGAACGCGGUAACCAGAGAGACCGGGACCGUGAGCGGGCUCAGUCUCGGGCCGGCAACAAGUCCAAGCAGCAGCCCAAAAGCGACGGCCUCACCCCCGAGCAACGCCGAGAAAGGGAUGCGAAGGCGCUACAAGAAAAGAUGGCGAGGAAAGCGGCGCAGGCCGCCGGGGGGAACAAUGCUGGCGGUGGCGGCGGCAUCAAAGG